UACGUAGGGUGCAAGCGUUAAUCGGAAUUACUGGGCGUAAAGCGUGCGCAGGCGGUUUGUUAAGUCAGAUGUGAAAGCCCCGGGCUCAACCUGGGAACUGCAUUUGAAACUGGCGGGCUUGAGUGUGGCAGAGGGGGGUGGAAUUCCGCGUGUAGCAGUGAAAUGCGUAGAGAUGCGGAGGAACACCGAUGGCGAAGGCAGCCCCCUGGGCCAACACUGACGCUCAGGCACGAAAGCGUGGGGAGCAAACAGG
rnacentral:rRNA from 1 species